rnacentral:piRNA from 1 species
UGUGUUUUUUGUUUGAUGGCC